rnacentral:rRNA from 1 species
AACUAACAAGGAUUCCCCUAGUAACUGCGAGUGAAGCGGGAAAAGCUCAAAUUUAAAAUCUGAUAGUCUUUGGCUGUCCGAGUUGUAGUCUGGAGAAGCGUCUUCCGCGUUGGACCGUGUACAAGUCUCCUGGAACGGAGCGUCAUAGAGGGUGAGAAUCCCGUCUUUGACACGGACUACCAGUGCUUUUGUGAUGCGCUCUCAAAGAGUCGAGUUGUUUGGGAAUGCAGCUCAAAAUGGGUGGUAAACUCCAUCUAAAGCUAAAUAUUGGCGAGAGACCGAUAGCGAACAAGUACCGUGAGGGAAAGAUGAAAAGCACUUUGGAAAGAGAGUUAAACAGUACGUGAAAUUGCUGAAAGGGAAACGCUUGAAGUCAGUCGCGUUUGCUAGGACUCAGCCUUGCUUCGGCUUGGUGCACUUCCUAGUAGACGGGCCAGCAUCACUUUUGGCUGCGGGAAAAAGAUCAGAGGAAUGUGGCACCUUCGGGUGUGUUAUAGCCUCUGGUUGUAUACCGUGGCUGGGAGUGAGGAUCUCAGCACGCCUUUAUGGCGGGGCUUCGGCCACCUUCGUGCUUAGGAUGCUGGCGUAAUGGCUUUAAACGACCCGUCUUGAAACACGGACCAAGGAGUCUAACAUGCCUGCGAGUGUUUGGGUGGAAAACCCGAGCGCGUAAUGAAAGUGAAAGUUGGGACCUCUGUCGUGGAGGGCACCGACGCCCGGACCAGACCUUCGGUGACGGAUCUGCGGUAGAGCAUGUAUGUUGGGACCCGAAAGAUGGUGAACUAUGCCUGAAUAGGGUGAAGCCAGAGGAAACUCUGGUGGAGGCUCGUAGCGAUUCUGACGUGCAAAUCGAUCGUCAAAUUUGGGUAUAGGGGCGAAAGACUAAUCG